rnacentral:rRNA from 1 species
AUUCCCUUAGUAACGGCGAGCGAAGUGGGAACAAGCCCAGGUCUGAAAUCUCCCGGUCGGCACUUGUAGUGGCCGGGCGAAUUGUGGUCUGGAGAGGCAGACUGUCCCGAUCCACUGCUUUUGAGCCCGAAGUUGACUUGGAACGGCACGCCAGAGAGGGUGAGAGCCCCGUAGGGCAUGGAAAUCGAGAGCGGCGGGACGAGGGUCUGUACUCGUGGAGUCGGGUUGUUUGGGAUUGCAGCCCCAAGUGGGUGGUAGACUCCAUCCAAGGCUAAAUACGGACGCGAGACCGAUAGCUGACAAGUACCGUGAGGGAAAGGUGAAAAGCACUUUGAAGAGAGAGUUCAACAGACCGUGAAACCGUUGGGAGGGAAGCUCAGGGUGUCGAGGUUGUCGUGCUCUGCUGCGAGUUCAAUCGGUGGAGGCUGGAAACGGCCACUGCCGAUGCACUCUCCUGUGGAGUUGGACCGUCAGUUGGGAAGAGACGGAGUCCUGCGUUGUCGACGGUCGGGAGGUAUGCCCCGGGUUACUCUCGGGUUACUCUCGGGUGCCCGGGGUGACGUAUAGCCGUUCCGUCGUGGACUCUGUCGUCUUCCAGGUGCGAUUUGGACGUCUGUUCGUCCGGAAUGGGAAGGUACAGUCUCCCGCAUUCGUGUGGGAGUUCGGGCUAGCCUGGCGGUUGCUCCGCGUUGCUGUGUCGUGUUCCGCUCUCUCCCCGCUUUGCCUCGGCGGGUGGGGUAGAGUGCGGCACGGCCGGCAUUCGUCGGUGUCCCGUCCGGGCUGUGAUCCAAGCCGACUGUGCCGAGGUGACUGG